GCCUACGGCCUGCCGCCCUGAGAGCGGCCGGUCUCGCCUGAUCUCGGAAGCUAAGCAGGGUCGGGCCCGGUUAGUACUUGGAUGGGAGACCGCCUGGGAAUACCGGGUGCUGUAGGCU
ensembl:rRNA 5S_rRNA 5S ribosomal RNA